CUUCAUCCCCCACCCGGGGCAGAUUCAGACAAGCAUUUAUUUUAGUUCCUAAGCCGCGCGGUGCUCCCAGCUCCCGCGCCUCUGGGCGGCCCACACCCCUCCCAAUCCCCUCCUCCGCGCCGCCGUCUUCCUUGCUCUUGGGUGGCCGCGGCGCCCGCUUCCUCUGAAUUCGCCGGGCAGGGAUACAGCCGCCCGGGGCCUGUUGCUCGUGCUUGGUUUUCCGGACCUUGCUUCCUAAAGGGUCUUUUGGGGUUCCCGGACUCCUCCGCCUGGGAGCCUCUAUCUCCCUGGGAGCCUCUAUGCGCCCCGCAUAGCCCCCGGCAGGGCCGAGGGGAGGCUUCAUUGGCGACCUGGUGGGGCCUCGCGGCCCUGCUCCCUGUCGUCAGCGCCGCCGCGGUGAUUUAACAGCUUUUGUUUUGGGCAGAAGAACCUAUGGGCACAAAAAGCAGGAACGAGUAGCGGUGGCUGAAGAACGAGCAGGAGCUUGAAUUUCAGUUUUCUUAUGAGGAAUUUUCCAGAAAAGAUAUCUUCACUGUGAAAUAAGUAAAUAAAUGCCCACUCAGUACAACAAAAAUACCUGCUACAUGCUUCCUUCUGUAUGAAUACACGAGACCUACCUUCAUUCAUGUUUCCUCUAUGAAGCUUUCCCUGAGCUCCAAACACAGAGCUGAGACUUCCACCUAAUGUAGAAAGCUAGCACGAGCCGGCGCUGACAGAUGGAAGACUUGAGAUGUUACAAGAUUAUAUAUGGAAACACAAAAGGAGUGGAGUUGCUGGGUCAUAUGGCAAUUCAUUUGAGGAACUGAGAAGCUUAUUCUAUGGAGGCUGAACUGUUUUAUAUUCCCACCAGCAACGUGUAAGGUUCCAGUUUCUCUACAUCAUCACCAACACUUGCUAUUUUCCAUUUCCUUAAUGAUAGCCAUCCUAGUGGAUUUGAAGUGGUACCUUAUCGUGGUUUUGAUUGCAUUCUCUAUUGACUAAUGAUAUUGAGCAUCUUUUCAUGUAUUUUUUGGUCAUUUGGUCAUUUUUCUUUUUUAAUUUUAAAAUUUUGAGACAGGCUCUCACUAUGUUGCCCAGGUGGUCUCAAACUCCUGGGUUCCAGCGAUGCUCAUGCCUCAGUCUCCCAAAGGGGUGGGAUUACAGGUGUGAGCCACUUUGCCCAGCCCAUUUGUAUAUCUCCUUUGGAGAAUAUCUAGGUUCUUUUGAAGGUAGCUGCAUAUAAACUAGCCAAAUUAACAGACUGUGGUUUUUAGACGGCUUUCCAUAUCUACAAGAACUAUUUAGUUCUCAAAACUGGGAAGAAAUGUUUCAGAGGCAUCAUUAAUUCAUAAUCUAAAAAUUUAUCUCAGGUUUCCUUUUUUCCCCCAGAUUCUGUAUCCUCCAUAGUCCUAUUCAUGACAUGGGUCGUUCAUCUCUGUAUUCUAAACCCUCAACGAACUGUAGACACUAAUAAAUAUUUAUUGGAUGAAUGGUCUCUCACCAGCCACCUUUUCUUUUUUUUUUUUGAGACAGAGUCUCACUCUGUCACUCAGGCUGGAGUGCAGUGGCACGAUCUCGGUUCACUGCAACCUCCGCCUCCCCGGUUCAAGCGAUUCUCCCACCUGAGCCUCCCGAGUAGCGGGGAUUACAGGUGCACGCCACCUUGUCUGGCUAAUUUUUGUAUUUUUAGUAGAGACACGGUUUCACUGUGUUGGUCAGGCUGGUCUCAAACGCCUGACCUCAGGUGAUCUGCCCGACUUGGCCUCCCAAAGUGCUGGGAUUACAGGUGUGAGCCACCGCACCCGGCCUCCAGCCUCUUUUCUUUUCUUUUUUUUUUUUUUUGAGACAAGUCUAACUCUGUCACCCGGCUGGAGAGCAGCGGCAUGAUCAUGGCUCACUGCUGCCUCAACCUCAGUGGCUCAAGUCAUUGUCCCCACCUCAGCCUCCCUAGUAGACUGGACUACAGGCAUGUGCCACCACACCCAGCUAAUUUUUCAUCAGCCACCUUUUCUAACCAUCUGUCUGCACUGACUUCCCAGGUUCUGCAUCAUUAUUGGUUUACUGAGACAAUGCACUUGACCCGUCCUUCAAUCCCAAAGUAGCACAGAAUAUCAGGAGUUCUUUGAGCCCCUAAGUGCCCUACUUUCCCAGGGUCAGGGGACCCAGACAAGCAAGGUCCCCACAUCUUUCUGUGGUUGGAUAGGGAUAUAAAAUUUCUCACACAUGUUAAAUCAAGAUACUUUGGCCAGGCAUGGUGGCUCACACCUGUAAUCCCAGCACUUUGGGAGGCUGAGGUGUACAGAUCACUUGAGGUCAGGAGUUCGAGACCAGCCUGGUCAACAUGGUGAAACUCCCAUCUCUACUAAAAAAAAAAAACUUUGGGAGGCCGAGGUGGGUGGAUCAUGAGGUCAAGAGUUUGAGACCAGCCUGGCCAACAUGGUGAGACCCCGUCUCUACUAAAAAUACAAAAAUUAGGUGGGCGUGGUGGCACACACCAGUAGUCCCAGCUACUCAGGAGGCUGAGGCAGGAGAAUUGCUUGAACCUGGGAGGCAGAGGUUACAGUGAGCUGAGAUCAUGCCACCGCACUCCAGCCAGGGCAACAGAUCAAGACUCCGUCUUGGGGGAAAAAAAAAAAAAAAUUAGCCAGGCUUGGUGGUGGAUGCCUGUAUUCCCAGCUUCUUGGGAGACUGAAGCAGGAGGAUUGCUUGAACCCAGGAGGCAGAGGUUGCAGUGAGUUGAGAUUGUGCCACUGUACUCCAGCCUGGGCAACAGAAACAAUACUCUGUCUCAAAAAAAAAAAAAUCAAGACACCAAACACACACAACUAAUUAGCUUUAUAAAUUGAAUUAAAAGAAAAUCCAUACUGACUUGCUUUCCCAUCUGUCCAUAUUUGUCUAUCAAAAUGAUUAAGGGCUAGAGAAAAUACAGAUGAUGAUGGCUGAGAUGGGAUGAAACUAUAAAUUGACUUGGUUCCAUUUACCUCCCAGAAUCAGCAUACAGUGACAAGGUAGAGAGAAAAGGUUUGGGCACCACAAACUUGUACUUGUGCUAGAAAUGUAGGUGCCUUUUCAUUUGCGCAGCAGGGCUAGUUUAACAGCCAGGGUAUCUUCUGGGACUCUUCCCCAAAUCUUGCUCUACCGCUGACUAGCUAUGUGAUCUUGGGCAAGUUUCUCAACCUUUCUGUGCCUUUCUUCCUUCACUUAUAACAGAAUUUGCUUCAUAGAGUUAGUCUGAGGAUUCAGUAAGUAGAUACGUGUAAUCUUAGAACAGUGUCUGGCACAUAGUAAAACUCUAUCUUUGCUAUUGUUGUUUUUGUUAUAACUGUAUAGAUGUUAGCUAUUAUUACUAUCCACAAGAAUGGGACAUAUCAAUUAUAUAUAUUACUGGCCUAGUAAUUAUAUAUACUUAGAAUCCCUGAUCAAUAAAAUAAAUUGUAAUAGAAACUUUUGUUCCUCAAACACAUUUUUGUUCCUCAAACACAUUUUUAAAUAAACAUGUCUUGGGAAAGCCAAAGAAAAAAAAAUCAUACCUAUAUCCAAAUAUGUUAUAUUAAAACCUUGUUCCUUGGCAAUUUCACUAAGCAGCUGGAUGUAAUCUGUAUUUGGAAUACUAAGGAGGCUUCUUUUCAGUAAGUUGAUCUUUUCACCAGGAGAAUUCCUCAAGGAAUGCCAAGUACAUCCUAAAGUAUGUCCUACUACAUUUGUCUGAAAAACAGAGAUGAAGAUUUAGACUCUUGACUAGGACUGGGUUCCAACACCAGUAUCAGUAUAAUUAAAAGUACUUAUUAAGCACUCACAUUUAAUAUGUUAUAAAGCAUGUUUAAAUGGAUAACAUUUGGUUAAUUUUCCAAUUUAAACAAGACAACAUUAAAAAGUACACAUUUAACAAUACUAUAUGUUUUUAAGAAGCACUUGCAAUAAUAUACUGAAAGCAUUUUGUAUUUUGUAUAGUACAAAUGUUUCUCAGUCAAGUUUUCUGAUGGUCACAUUAAGAGGUACAAGAUAUCUGGGAGCACCAUAAGUAAAUCCACAAAUAAUUAAAUCUGCCUAAUGGAGCAAUUUGCAGAUUAAAAUAUAGAACAAUUUUCAUAUCUUUGGUUUUUUUGUAUUAAAUACCAAUCACUAUAACUGACAGCUAUAAAACAGGAAAAAAAAACUAAAAAAAACAUGAAAUGUGCACGUUGGGUUUGAGGAACAAGUCAUUCAAAUAAAUGACAGGAUGUCAAAAAGUUCUUAUCAGACUUCUAUCCCAGAACCCAACUGAGUAUUUUUUUCCUUUUUCUUUCUGCUUUUUCUCUUUCCUUUAUCCUCCCCUAUAUCCUUCCCUUUUCAUCUCUGUCCUUAGAAUGCCUUAUAUUUCCAUAUUAGUUUAUGGUUCUCAAAUUGCUUUCAUAUGCCAUUAAUAAAAACAACUACUUUCUGAAGUAAGUAGGGUUACUACUCUUAAUAUUGUUUUAUUAAUGAGCACGACAGAGGGGAGGCAAUUUCCAAAAGAUUUUAGAGAUGGCAUGAUAUGGAAUUAAGUAAUUUGUUAGAUAUACCAAAUAAAAAUUUACAUUAUAGAAACUUUAAAAUACUGUUUUUAAAUAAAUUAAAGAACACUAUUUACAUGGUUAAAAAAAUACAUGCACUAAGAACAAAUAUAUAAUGAAGAGUACAGUCUCUUUUCCUUACCACCCAUUCCCUGAAGACCUCUGUUCUAUUUCUUAGACAUACUGUUAAACAUUUUUCAGUAUCUUCCCAUAAAUGUUCUAUGCAUAUGCAAGCACACACAAUCUUUUAAAGCAAAUGAUAACUUACUCCUCUACAUCUUGUUCAUUUUUCUUUUAUCAGUGCACAUAUAUGCACUGUAUUUACCUUACGGAUCUCCAACUGUGAGCUUUAGGUUGUUUCUAGUUUCUUGCUUUUACUAGCAAUAAACACUCUUUUGCACUUGAAUGAGUUUCUCUGUAGAAUUAUUUCUAGAAGUGGAACUGCUAAGUCAAAGAACAUAUACACUUUUAAUUUUGAUAAAUACUUCCAAACUGAUUUCUGAACCAAUUUAUACUCCUACCAACUGUCUUGGAGGGGGCUUGUUUUCUCAUACCCUCACUAAUACCAGCUAUUAUCAAAUUUGGUAGUUUUUGCCAAUCUAAAAGGUGAAAAUAUUUUAUCUUGCAUGAAUAAAGUUGAAUAUUUUUUCUUUUUUUCCCUUAAUCGUUUGCAUUUCUUCUACUGGGUUGUCUUUUUAACUGAUGCAUAAGAGCUUUUUAAAUUUUCUCUUUUUUAAGAGUUAGGAUCUUGCUGUGUGGCUUAACUCUCAAACUCUUGGGCUCUAGCAGUCCUCCCACCUUAGCCUCCCGAGUAGCUGGGACUACAGGCAUGUGCUGCUGUGUGCAGCAGAUGUGUACAAAAGAGCUUUAAAGGUAGUACUGAAAACAGUUCCUUUGUAGUUCUAUGUUGAAAAUAAUUUCUUCCCACUUUUUUAUUGUCUUGAUUUUAUUUACAGAUUUUUUGCUGUGCAGUAGGUUUUAUGUUGUCAAAUUUAUUAAUCUUUUAACCUUCUAGGUUUUAAGUUAAAAUGCUUUCCCCAUGGUAAGAUUUUUAAAAAGAAAAACUCUUCCAUGUUUCCUAAUACUUAUACUGUUUCAAAUUUUUAUGUUCAAAUCUUUGAUCCAUCUGAAAUUCACUUUGGUGUAAGGAAUAAGGAAGCAUUCUAAAUAGAUGUCAUACACAUAAACAAAUAUAUAUAUAUAGCCCCCACCCAAAUGUGGAUGUAAACUGUUUCUACAUCAUUAUUGAAUAAUCCAUCCUCUCACCCACUGAUCUGAAAUCUCACUGUUGCUAUAUACUAUGGUCCUAUGUGGAUUAGCAUCUACACCUGGAUUCUCUAUUCGCUCCUCUGACUAUUCCUGGCCCAGUAACUUGUCUGACAAGUUCAGUUUUACAGUAUGUUUUGUUCUCUAGUAAAGCAGCACACCCUUGCUCUCCCAACUCUUCCUUUUCAGUUUCCUUGGCUAUUCUUGAGGGUUUUUUUUCCAGAUAAACUUCAAUAAACAUGUAUCAAGGUCCAAAAUGAACGCUGGUAGGUUUUUUUUUUUUUUGAGUUGGGGUCUCGCUCUGUCGCCUAGGCUGCAGUGCAGUGGCGUGGAUCUCUGCUCACUGCAAGCUCCGCCUCCCGGGUUCAUGCCAUUCUCCUGACUCAGCCUCCGGAGUAGCGGGGACUACAGGUGCACGCCACCAGGCCCGGCUAAUUUUUUUUUUUUUGUAUUUUUAGUAGAGACGGGGUUUCACCGCGUUAGCCAGAAUGUUUUCUGUCUCCUGACCUCAUGAUCCGCCCACCUCGGCCUCCCAAAGUGCUGGGAUUACAGGCGUGAGCCACUGUGCCUGGCCAAACGCUGAUUAAAAAACUGAGGUCCAGAGAGAUUAAGUAAUUUGCUUAACUUCGCGAAUCAAGGACUGCAUCAAGGACGGAAGCUGAGGUUCCUGCUUUUGGCCUGGUGCUUUCUGUACUGGCCACACUACCUCCCAAAGGCAAAUAGUUUCUUACUACUUGAAACUAUUAUCUAGCUAAGGUAAAAUCCCAUUUUAAGCCACUUUUGAAAAAAACAAAAACAUGCCAGAGAAGUUAACAGGAAUUCUCACUAGUACUUUUUAAAGUGACAGUGUUUCUUAUAGUUUAUAUCCUUUAUAACAUAGAAGUUGCUAUAAUUAAGAAAGAUAAUUUUCAUUUUUAUCUCACUGCAAUUAUUUGCCAUGUAGUCUCUUAUUAAUCAUAUCAUUUUCAAGUGUAAUCUUCCUCUAGUCCUAUUUUCUAGAUAGAAUAGCUGUUAAAAUCCAAGAGAUUUACUAUAGCUUUUUCUCCAAAUUGAGGUUUUUUAAGUCACUAAUUUAUCAAUGAAGACUGUUUAAAGUACAGAGCCAACAGUUUGUCUAUUAAUAAUCUAUGAUUUUUAAAAAUAUCAAAUUAAGAAGACGAAGUAUCUUAAGCCAAAUAUUUAUACUUAAGUUCAACCUCAGAAAGUCAGAGACAAUAAGAGUGUAUCAAUUUUUCUGCAUAGAAAUAUUUGAAAACAUUACGACAGAAAUUUCGAUAGUCAUUCAUCAUCUGAAAAUAUUUCAAAUGCCUUUAAUUGUAAGAAAUAAGUACCAGUUUCCAUAAAUGACUCUAGCCUGCAAAUUGUAGUAUAUUCUCUCUUAUGAGCAGGUCCUCCCUCCUGGGAAAGGGUAUAUUCAGGAAGUCUCCAGCCAUGAUGAAUAGCCAAUUCCUAUAAAAUCAAGAUGAGGCUUUAAUAGUAAUUUUAUGCAAUGGCUCAAUCACAUAAGUGUUUUCUUAAUUUUGAUCCCAUUUCUAUGUAUAUGUUUGAAAAGAAUAGUGAUAUUCUGCAACGGAAAAAAGAGGGAAGACCCUCUAUUUCUCAAAGACAUUCCCGCAUUUUAUAUUUUUAUACCCCAAUACCAAAACUGAAGCGGUUUUGUGCUACGAAUGGUGUUCUUGCAUUAAACCACAGUGAGCUGGUAUCAGACUUCAACUAGAAAAACAGGCUACUACCGCCCUCUUUGGCAACACCAGAGGAGACCAUCUACAGGUUUCACUGCCAUCAGUUCCUAAAGUCCCUCCCCUCCUAGCUAUAGACUUCCAAACCCACAGCUGGCCAAGAACACGUGAGGAGUAGGGACAGCAAACAACAGACUUGCAUGAAGUGGGGGACAGAAGGUGAAGAAAACGAUAGAAAAGCUCACUGUGCAGGAAAAGGAGACCAAAGGACUGGCUGAAUAAUGGGGAGGGGAAUGGCCUAACAGAGCACAUGGAUAAUCUGCAAGAAGGAUAUUCUGCAUAUAGAAAUUCAAAGCUGAAUAUAUGUGUGUGUGUUUGUGUGUGUAUAGAUAUAAUUUUUUUUUUGGUAGAAUAAGCAAAUAAACAGACUCCUUUUCUUCAGUUAGGUUCACUGAUUUGAUUUAGGCUCUUUAUAAAGUCUUCUGUCUCAACAGAAGUAGAAAGAGAUUUGUCACAAGAGUAGCAAGAACUAUUCUUAAAGUAUAAAACACUCUACCUAUGUGCACUGAUGGCCUAUUGAUCUUAAAUGAGAAUUCUAUAAGCCAAAGGCAAAUACUGUAUAUGAAAGAAAACCCAGAACAUAAAUAGGAAAAUAAUUUCAAGUUAGCUUUGUUAAUCUAAUGAUCGUAAGUUGGAAAACAAAAUAUAUCACUAUCUUGUCUUUAAAAUAUUAAUUCCUUGUGUUAGCCCCUCUGACAUUACAAACUUAUUAUAUAUUUCAUCAGUAGGCAAAGAACUGUACAACUUACCUGUAAUGAACCAAUAGGAUUAAGCUGGUUCUUUGGUUGCUUGGAAGGGUCAGGCAUUAAGGGGUCAGGAACUGCAAAGCUAAAUAUUUUUUAAAAGUGUUAUAAAACAAAAUAAUUUCCCCCGAAUUAUGAAAUAAAUGACAAGCAUUUUCUAAUUAA